rnacentral:pre_miRNA from 1 species
UCCACACCCAUGUGUGUAGGACCCUAAAGGAUCACCAUUAAAUUUGGCACAUAUCUCUAGAAAAGUUAUCACAUGGGUGUGAGACUUGACUUUUUUAGAGAUUUGUGCCAAAUUUAAAUGGUGAUCCUUUGGGGUCUUACACACAUGGAUGUGGG